rnacentral:rRNA from 1 species
UAGGUCGACCCGCUGAACUUAAGCAUAUCAAUAAGCGGAGGAAAAGAAACCAACCGGGAUUCCCUCAGUAACGGCGAGCGAAGUGGGAACGAGUCAGUGCCCAGGUCUGAAAUCUCCGGUCUGACCAAUGCGUGGCCGGCGAAUUGUGGUCUGGAGAGCGGAGUUGUCCCGGAGUCGCGUUCCGUGAGGCCCGAAGUCGACUUGGAACGGCGUGCCAGAGAGGGUGAGAGCCCCGUAGGGCCGAGAAACCGGGAGCGACGGGACGAGAGCUCCGACUCGUCGAGUCGGGUUGUUUGGGAAUGCAGCCCCAAUCGGGUGGUAGACUCCAUCCAAGGCUGAACACGGGCGCGAGUCCGAUAGCGGACAAGUACC